AGAUCCUUGGCUGAUUUUAUAAAACCCAGAAUGACUAUACCAAUAGUCAAUAUGUGCCUUCACAAUGCUCGGCAUUUCAUUCUCAAACCCACCAGUAUAAUCACCAUUCACUAAUAACCAACGUCUACAAAGAAGGACAACCCCCAUCUUCAUCAUUGCUAGUUCUUUCAGUUUAAUUACAAAUGGUAAUCAGGACACAGCACCACAUACAAGCCGUGAAGUACAUGUAAUUGGAUAAAAGCUUGUUGACAGAUUCAUCAUCACCACCUGGGUAUUUUGAUGGAUACAAGACUCAAUUUUCUUGAGAAACACUAGUGAAGAAACAUGAACAAGAACCAUGUUGUUAAGUUUCAAUGUCACAAGCAUUCCGGGGAUGUACAAGAAGAAGAUCUAUCAAUUUCACAGCACCAUGGCGUCUAGCUCUACAGUUGUAGCCAGCCCAUACUCCAAUAUCAACUUCAGUCUAGAACUACGCAAAAGCAAAGAUCUGUCUUUAAGACUAAGCAUUCAUAUCGUCUUUCUUUUUCAUCAGUUAGUAUAGCUCUGCAGAAACAAUAACAUCGCCUAAGGAUCUAGUUACAGAGAAUUUUUUUAAUUGUACGAAGAGAGAGAGACAGAGAUACAUUACAAGGCACCAUCUUCGAGAAGAAGUUGCAAGACCGGUUUAGGUGGUUGCAAGACCGGUUCGAUUCCAACAUUAUUAUUACCGUUAGGAGAAACGCAGGCGUUUUGUGUUGUGGAUCUCGAUACCAGACUCAAACCUUUAAGAGAAAUAUAGCCGUUUACGCUAGCUUCUCUAUAAAUAUUACAAUACACCAACUCAAAAACACUUUAAUCAGACAAGAAACCAAACCAAACUCAAAAACACUAUAAUCAGACAACAAAACCAAACCAUUAUCCCUCCUUUCUUCUCCAAUUAUAUCGAUGUCGGAAGAAAACCGCAAAUGUCAAAAUACAAACCUCAAACCUCCUUCCACUAAAACUCUCUCUCUGUUCAAUCCCGUUUCUGUGCAAUGGAGAAACCACCGGAAGAAACAGCCGGUGGCCCAGAGACCAAACCGGUUUCGAAAUCGAUCAAAGCUCGUUUCCUGAAGAAAGGCUCAAGAUUCGGUGGUGGAGCUCCCGGUUUACAUGGCCGCUGCUGCUGAAGAAGUAAGUCUCGAGAUUCAGAUCUGAUUUUUUUGUUUUAGCGAAAAUCAUUGUCUGAUUUCUAAGAUCUAUGGUGAUUCAGGUGUUAAGAGCUUGCUGCCAGAGACAACAAGAAGUCGACGAUCAUUCCCAGUUUUUUUUUUUUUUUUUGCCGAUUAGGAACUAUGAAGCUUUUACCAAUUUUUUUUUUUAGAGUAAUUUUGUAUUAUAUAUUUGUAUUAUGUUAUACAUAUGAGAGAGGAAAGAGAGAGUGGGCGGGGGAAGGUAGGGGAGAGAGAGAGGGAGAGAAGAGAGAGGAG
rnacentral:lncRNA from 1 species